AUUGCCGUUGAUACUGUUGGGCUUGAAUUUGGUUGCUGUGAGUGGAAUGUGUGGUGUAGCGGUGAAAUGCUUAGAGAUCACACAGAAUAUCGAUUGCGAAGGCAUCUCACAAAGCCAAGAUUGACGCUGAUGCACGAAAGUGUGGGGAUCAAACAGGAUUAGAUACCCUGGUAGUCCACACUGUAAACGAUGAUAACUCGCUGUCGGCGAUACACAGUCGGUGGCCAAGCGAAAGCGAUAAGUUAUCCACCUGGGGAGUACGACCGCAAGGUUGAAACUCAAAGGAAUUGACGGGGGCCCGCACAAGCGGAGGAACAUGUGGUUUAAUUCGAUGAUACGCGAGGAACCUUACCCGGGCUCGAACGGCUUUAGAAUAUAUCAGAGAUGGUAUAGCCAGCAAUGGCUGAAGGUCGAGGUGCUGCAUGGUUGUCGUCAGCUCGUGCCGUGAGGUGUCGGGCUUAAGUGCCAUGACGAGCGCAACCCUUGGUCGUUAGUUGCCAUCAGGUAAAGCUGGGGGACUCUAGCGAGACUGCCCACCGGUAACGUGUGAGGAGGGGGGGGGGAUGGACGUUCAAAUCAGCCACGGGCCCUUACGUCCGGGGGCCGACCACACGUGUUACAAUGGCAGGUACCAGGAGGGGCCAGCCUACCCAGUGGAUGGGGGGUGGCGGAAUCCCUCUAAAAGCCUGGUCCUCAGUUCCGGGAAUCCGGGAGUCCUGGCAACUCGG
rnacentral:rRNA from 1 species